rnacentral:lncRNA from 1 species
AAAAAAAAUGGAUAAAAAUCAGUGGAAAUGGGUAAAAGAAGAAUGUAAACUACACACAAAAAUGCAUUUGUUUUGUUAUAUAUCAGUUUACUAAUACAACAGUUAUUCGGUAGGAAAAUGGUAUCGAUAAAUAGGCAUGCACAAACAUAUGAACAUAUGAACAAACAAAAUUUUUCUUUUUUUGAAUCAUACGUAUGUAUGUAUAUAUAUAUAUAUAUAUAUUUUUUUUUUUUUUUUUUUUUUUUUUUUCCAUUUUUUUUUAUAACUUACCAUCAAUGCUUUGAUGUUGUCCGAGUGUUUAAGAUCCAGCACUGAGUCUAUCAGCGCCUUUUUUUUUGCAUCUUUCAACAGUGUAAGUUCUGAAUAAAGCUCUCUUAAUUUUACAUACUCACUAGAAAUUAAUUCUUUUUCUUUUACAUAAUCAUUAAUAGAAACAAUAUAAUUAUGAAUUAAGUUAACAAAUUUAUAAUUUAAAAACUUAUGUACAUUAGACAUAUUUUCGUAUUUUAAAAUUAAACUUUUGUUGACUAAAGAUAUAUUAAUUGUUUUAAUUUGUCUUAAAAUAUAUGUGUAUGUAAAAGUUUUAUUUAUAAACUUUACAUCAUUAUUUUUAUUCAUAUAUAAAUACAAAAUUUUUAAAAAACCCAUAUAGUUAUUUACAUUUUUUUUGUUUAAAAAAUAUAAAAUCUUCUUUGGUUAUGUUUUUUAGAUUGUGUUUUUUUUUUAGUAUAUUUUUUUUUAUAUAUUAUUAGUUUGUUUUUAAUAUACAACUGUUUUUCUUGUAUAUUUUUCUUUAUAUCACUUUUUACAUUUUUUUACAUUUUCUACACUUUCUACAUUUUUUACACUUUCUACAUUUUCUACAUUUUUUACACUUUCUACAUUUUCUACACUUUCUAAAUUUUUUACAUUUUUUGAAUUUUUUACAUUAUCAUCACCCUUAUUCUUGUUCUUAUCAGAUGCAUAUUUAUUUAACAUAUCUUUUAUAAAUUCUUUAUAUUUUCUUUUUUUUUCUACAUCCGUAGAUAAUUCUUUUUUUUUUAAGCAGUUCGUACAAAAGGUGGGUUCUUUCAUUUGCAUUUGGACUUGGCUUUGUGAAGUUAUCUUGUAUUUUAUUUUUUUGCUCAUUUGUUUUGGUAAUAGGUGUAUGAGUGUUACUGCUACUGUCAUAACUAUUACUGCUACUGUCAUAACUAUUACCGCUACUGUCAUAACUAUUACUGCUAUUGUCAUAACUGUUAUUGUUACUGCAACAUGUAUUAGUGGCAUAUGUUUUACUGUCGUAGGUGUCUGUAUUACUACUAUACGCACUGUUUUCAUACGUGCUAGUGUAUGUGUCAUAACCAGUAUCAUAAGACCUUGUAUCUAUACAAUCAACAUAUUCACUCGUUUUAAAAUUAAUUUUUUGUUUAACAUAUCAGUUAUGCGAUUAAUAAAAUAAAAUUUUUUAUAAUUACUAAAAGAAUAAUCUAAAUAAAUGUUUUCAUCAGUAGUAGUUAAUAAAAAGG